rnacentral:rRNA from 1 species
GAUCCUGGCUCAGGAUGAACGCUGGCGGCGUGCUUAACACAUGCAAGUCGAACGAAGCACUUAUCUUUGAUUCUUCGGAUGAAGAGGUUUGUGACUGAGUGGCGGACGGGUGAGUAACGCGUGGGUAACCUGCCUCAUACAGGGGGAUAACAGUUGGAAACGACUGCUAAUACCGCAUAAGCGCACAGGAUCGCAUGAUCCGGUGUGAAAAACUCCGGUGGUAUGAGAUGGACCCG